AGAAGUCAUGUGUUCACUGAGCAGCUGUCAGACGCUCCUCCUGAUGGCCGUCUGCGGGGUCUUCUGCUGCCGGACUCUCGCGCUGCCGGCCAUCUCUGCGUAUCCUGACAUCAGACCAGGCGCUCUUGAUGAAGACAGAGAGGACGACUGGACGAGAGACGCGUCGCUGCAGGACCUCGAGGCGUAUAAACUCCUGUAUGAACUCGCAAACAACAUCGAGAGACCAUCCAGACACGCUGACGGGCUGUUCACGAGCGGAUACAGCAAACUGCUCGGACAACUGUCUGCUAAAGAAUACCUGGAGUCUUUACUCGCAAAGAGAGUCGGUGAUGAGCUGGAUGUGGAGCAGAUGCCUGUGAAACGUCAUUCAGACGCCGUCUUCACCGACAACUACAGCCGCUACCGCAAACAGAUGGCGGCCAAGAAAUACCUCAACUCAGUUCUGGCCGGGAAAAGGAGGUACGACUCAAAAAGGAGGCAAGAGUCGCUAUUGAUAGUGCGAUAAAACAUCACAAAGGCUACAAGAAACCACCGGCAAUUUUUUCCCAUCUGAAUGCAUUUUGUUUUUAAUUAUAGCAAGUUUAUGAUCUCUUAUGAUCUCUGGUUUAGGUGAUGCACUCACGCUCAAACGCUGCCUGUGCUCUUCAACAUGUGACACGGACGGCACAGCUUCAAGACUUCGCCAUCAUUAUAUAUUCAAGCUUACACAAUCUAUUAUGGGCUGAGAUUGAAUUAACGGCACUAAACGCAACACAGACUGAACCAAGCACGUCAGACUCUUGUGUCCUCGCGUGAACGACGCGUCCGGUUUGCUGUUGGCUGGAAUAAUGCUGUUAUGUCUAUAGAAAUCUAUUUUGACUGCAGUCAUUCUUGAUAACUGAAAUCAAACCAAUAAAAAUGAUCAUGUUUGU